rnacentral:rRNA from 1 species
ACGGCUCAGUAACACGUCGGUAACCUACCCUCGGGAGGGGGAUAACCCCGGGAAACUGGGGCUAAUUCCCCAUAGGCCUGAGGUACUGGAAGGUCCUCAGGCCGAAAGGGACUUAUGUCCGCCCGAGGAUGGGCCGGCGGCCGAUUAGGUAGUUGGUGGGGUAAUGGCCCACCAAGCCGAAGAUCGGUACGGGCUGUGAGAGCAGGAGCCCGGAGAUGGACACUGAGACACGGGUCCAGGCCCUACGGGGCGCAGCAGGCGCGAAACCUCCGCAAUGCGGGAAACCGCGACGGGGGGACCCCGAGUGCCGUGGCAACGCCACGGCUUUUCCGGAGUGCAAAAAGCUCCGGGAAUAAGGGCUGGGCAAGGCCGGUGGCAGCCGCCGCGGUAAUACCGGCGGCCCGAGUGGUGGCCGCUAUUAUUGGGCCUAAAGCGUCCGUAGCCGGGCCCGUAAGUCCCUGGCGAAAUCCCACGGCUCAACCGUGGGGCUUGCUGGGGAUACUGCGGGUCUUGGGACCGGGAGAGGCGGGGGGUACCCCUGGGGUAGGGGUGAAAUCCUAUAAUCCCAGGGGGACCGCCAGUGGCGAAGGCGCCCCGCUGGAACGGGUCCGACGGUGAGGGACGAAGGCCAGGGGAGCAAACCGGAUUAGAUACCCGGGUAGUCCUGGCUGUAAAGGAUGCGGGCUAGGUGUCGGGUGAGCCUCGAGCUCGCCCGGUGCCGUAGGGAAGCCGUUAAGCCCGCCGCCUGGGGGAGUACGGCCGCAAGGCUGAAACUUAAAGGAAUUGGCGGGGGAG